GAGGGUAUAGCUCAGUGGCAGAGUGUGUGCUUAGCACGCACAAGGUCCUGGGUUCAAUUCCUAGUAUCUCCA
rnacentral:tRNA from 1 species